rnacentral:rRNA from 1 species
UACGAAGGGGGCUAGCGUUGCUCGGAAUUACUGGGCGUAAAGCGUGCGCAGGCGGUUGUGUAAGACAGAUGUGAAAUCCCCGGGCUCAACCUGGGAACUGCAUUUGUGACUGCACGGCUCGAGUGCGGCAGAGGGGGAUGGAAUUCCGCGUGUAGCAGUGAAAUGCGUAGAUAUGCGGAGGAACACCGAUGGCGAAGGCAAUCCCCUGGGCCUGCACUGACGCUCGAUGCACGAAAGCGUGGGAGCAAACAGG